UACAGAGGUCUCAAGCGUUGUUCGGAUUCAUUGGGCGUAAAGGGUGCGUAGGCGGCGCGGUAAGUCGGGUGUGAAAUCUUGGAGCUUAACUCCGAAACUGCAUUCGAUACUGCCGUGCUUGAGGACUGGAGAGGAGACUGGAAUUUACGGUGUAGCGGUGAGAUGCGCAGAUAUCAGGAGGAACACCGGUGGCGAAGGCGGGUCUCUGGGCAACAACUGACGCUGAGGAGCGAAAGCGUGGGGAGCGAACAGG
rnacentral:rRNA from 1 species